rnacentral:rRNA from 1 species
CCUACGGGGAGCAGCAGUGAGGAAUAUUGGUCAAUGGACGAGAGUCUGAUCCAGCCAAGUAGCGUGAAGGAUGACUGACCUCUGGGUUGUAAACUUCUUUUAUAUGGGAAUACAACAGGGUAUGCAUACUCUCUUGUAUGUACCAUAUGCAUAAGGGCAGGCUAACUACGUGCCAGCAGCCGAGGUAAUUCGGAGGAUCCGAGCGUUAUCCGGAUGUAUUGGGUUUAAAGGGAGCGUAGGUGGAUUGUUAAGUCAGGUGUGAAAGGGUGCGGCUCAAACGUAAAAUUGCAGUUGCAACUGGCAGUCUUGAGUGCAGUAGAGGUGGGCGGAAUUCGUGGUGUAGCGGUGAAAUGCGUAGAUAUCACGAAGAACUCCGAUGGCGAAGGCAGCUUACUGGACUGCAACUGACACUGAUGCUCGAAAGUGUGGGGAGCAAACAGGAUUAGAUACCCUUGUAGUC